rnacentral:rRNA from 1 species
GAACGAACGCUGGCGGCGUGCCUAACACAUGCAAGUCGAGCGGGAAAGCGGGGGCAACCCCGCGAAGUACAGCGGCGAACGGGUGAGUUACACGUAGGUAACCUACCCCUAGGACUUGGGAUAACCUGCCGAAAGGGGGCUAAUACUAGAUAAGACCACGGGAGCUCCGGCUCCUGCGGUAAAAGGUGGCCUCUGCUUGCAAGCUACCGCCUAGGGAUGGGCCUGCGGGCCAUUAGCUAGUUGGUGGGGUAACGGCUCACCAAGGCUACGAUGGCUAGCUGGUCUGAGAGGAUGGCCAGCCACACUGGGACUGAGACACGGCCCAGACUCCUACGGGAGGCAGCAGUGGGAAUAUUGCGCAAUGGGCGAAAGCCUGACGCAGCGACGCCGCGUGGGUGAUGAAGGCUUCGGGUCGUAAAACCUGUCGGGAGGGACGAAACCUCGGCGACCUAAUACGUCGCCGACUUGACGGUACCUCCAAAGGAAGCACCGGCUAACUCCGUGCCAGCAGCCGCGGUAAUACGGAGGGUGCGAGCGUUACCCGGAUUUACUGGGUGUAAAGGGCGUGUAGGCGGCCUUUCAAGUCCGAUGCUAAAGACCGAGGCUCAACCUCGGGGGUGCGUUGGAUACUGGGGGGCUAGACGGUCGGAGAGGGUAGCGGAAUUUCCGGAGUAGCGGUGAAAUGCGCAGAUACCGGAAGGAACGCCGAUAGCGAAAGCAGCUACCUGGACGAUUGGUGACGCUUAGGCGCGAAAGCGUGGGGAGCAAACCGG